rnacentral:rRNA from 1 species
AACGCGAAGAACCUUACCUGGGCUUGAACUACUGGUAGUAAGUCUUUGGAAACAUGGACUGAUCCGCAAGGAAGCCAGCAGAGGUGCUGCAUGGUUGUCGUCAGCUCGUGUCGUGAGAUGUUGGGUUAAGUCCCGCAACGAGCGCAACCCCUAUCUCAUGUUGCUAAUCCCGCAAGGGAUGCACUUUUGAGAAACUGCCUUCGAUAAGAAGGAGGAAGGUGGGGACGACGUCAAAUCCUCAUGGCCCUUAUGUCCAGGGCUACACACGUGCUACAAUGGCCGGUACAACGGGAAGCAAUACCGCAAGGUGGAGCAAAACCCUGAAAGCCGGCCCCAGUUCAGAUCGUGGGCUGAAACUCGCCCACGUGAAGGCGGAAUCGCUAGUAAUCGCGAAUCAGCAGGUCGCGGUGAAUACGUUCCCGGGCCUUGUA